CCAUCCUAAUAAGAACUGUUGGUCAGCGCUCUGUGCUUAAACAAAGAGCGGUUCCCUCAUUCCUGGCAGCAGGCUCCUCCGUCCAGCCAUGUACACCGCAGGGGACAACUGCCUCAAAGGGUGCGGUUCCCUCAUCCCUGGCAGCAGGCUCCUUCUUCCAGCCAGGUACACCGCAGGGGACGAGUGCCUCGAAGGGUGCGGUUCCCUCAUUUCUG